rnacentral:rRNA from 1 species
CACGUAGGGUGCGAGCGUUGUCCGGAUUUAUUGGGCGUAAAGAGCGUGUAGGCGGCCAGGUAGGUCUGGUGUGAAAACUCGAGGCUUAACCUCGAGAUGUCAUCGGAAACCAUCUGGCUAGAGUCCGGAAGAGGAGAGUGGAAUUCCUGGUGUAGCGGUGAAAUGCGCAGAUAUCAGGAAGAACACCAGUGGCGAAGGCGGCUCACUGGCCCGGUACUGACGCUGAGGUGCGAAAGCGUGGGGAGCAAACAGG